AUUAGUCAGUGACUUAAGGCUCUAGCAGUAAUCUAAGGCGGGAGGUGUGACGCUACGCCACCUAUUCUUCAUAGAAAUAUUGGUAUGAUAAAACUAAGAUAUGUUUUAUGCAAUAUGGAUCUUGUGACAUAACAUUGGAAAGCUCAGGAGCUACUGCAUAUGAGUAGUCUAUUUGUAUCAUUUCUGUAUCUGAAGUUAGAAAUUUUCACUAUGUACCAAUUACAAAAGUGUUUGCUCAUGUAGAAUGCUCACCAGACAGAAAUCAAUCCUGGAAACGUCCACUUGGAGUCGUCUUCCUCUCAAAGUAUUCGCCCCAAGCCCUACACCCCCUUUCCUGGGGAAGGCUUGAUAAGACUCCUCACCAAUUUGCAUAGGUGAACACAGACCCAAAUCCUUGGAUCUUGGAACAAUGAAAACUAAAACUCUGAAGCUCGUCCCCAGAGGGAUAGGUAAAAGGGCAUGAGGGUACUAAACAAGAAGGAAUUCUCAAAUGCCCCUUCCUGGGAUGCGAAAGGGGGCAUUGCAUUUGGCUCGUGGCACCGUAUGCCAAACCAAGAGAAAAAGCUAUAUCCUUGGACGUUGUAUAUACAAGCCUGGAGUGGCAAAUAUUAAUUUUUAAUAUCCUUACGGGCCACCACAUUCUGCACUCAAAGUUCCAGAGCGAGGAAUCAGCCUUGAUAGUUUGUUUUUGUGAUAACCACUCCGUCCAUACUAUGUGUUUCUGGUUGAAUUACUGAUAACUACGCUUAACCUUAACAUGUUGACUUUAAAAACAAACAAAAACCAAGGAUGUUAAUAUCUGAUAUUUCUAAUUAUUGGAAGAUACAU